UUUGCUUUAUUUUGUUUUGCUCCAGAGCUGACAAUAAGGGAGAGAAGGUGAUACAAAUUUCUGAGCUAGGAAUAUGGAAAGGGAAUCGGGCUGGACUCCACUGCAUAUCAACGUUAAUUCUGUGAAUCAAUUUUAGCAGGUCUGCCCUAAUUGGGACCUUGAGGAUUAUCAUGGUUGAAAAUAUUUGAUUGCCCCAUCUUCUAUCUCUGUCUGUCUCUUCCCCUGUUUCCUGUGUCUGUCUUUGUUUCUUUCCAUAGAUACAAAUAUACAUAUAUAAUACAUACUUACAUACACGUGUAUUUCUCUGUCUCUGUCCCUAAACACUGAUCUAACUUGAAGGAUCACAGAUGUGGAUGGGACAAGAGUUUUCUCAAACAUUCACUACAGGUUGGUUCUUGAACCACUGGAUGUGGGUCAGAUUUUCAAACAAAGUCCCACUUCUCACCGCUAGGAGUCAGUCCACACUUAGCCUGAAUCUGACGGUUUCAAAUUCCCUCCUUAGGCCAAACUCACAUCCUUUGUACUGCAGUUUGAAUACUCACUUUAGUGUGCUAGGGAAAUAGUGAUAAGACAGAGGUCAGAAACUGGCCUUGCCUGGUGGGUAGUGAAGUUUGAUGCUCUAUGGGACUAAGGCACACCAAGAGAAGGGAAGAAAGUGGCGGAGCAGCUCGGGGAGUGUGGCAGGCUGCUGUCAUGGCCCUGUAUGAACCCCAGCCAAGUGCUGGGUGCAUUUAUCGUCGCGCACACACACGUGCGCGCGUUCGUGGGAAAGCACUGUUUGUUUCCCGGAAACAGGUGCCAGUUCUCGCUGUUUCACCAGAUACCCCAAGUCGCGUCAUCCUGAAACAGGGAAAACUGUCUUCUCCCUGGCAUCCACCUGUGAAGUGAAGAGAGAUCUUUGGAAAACAGACCUAAGCACCUCUCUUCCCUUUGGAAGACUGCAGGGAUUUCCCCUUGUCUUCAGGACAAGGAGCUUGAGGUUCAGAACUUUCCUGAGACCUCACAGGACUCCCAAGGCCACUCUUAUAACCACUGUGCACUACUGCCCAGAGAAGGAAACGGUAACCCACUCCAGUAUUCUUGCCUGGAAAACCCCAUGGACAGAGGAGCCUGCUGGGCUGGUGACUCCAUAGGGUCACAAAGACUCGGACAUGACUGAAGUGACUUAGCACCUGGCACUAGGAGCUUUCACCAUGGGACCGCAUCUCUAAUGCUGAAAAGCAGCUGAAAAUACCCAGGACCACCUGAUUCUCUGACUCAGUGGGACUCAACCCCUGACCUCAGGGGAGUUUCCUGAGCCAUGAAGGAAGACUUGAGCUGAGCACAGAAGGAAACAUGGGAAAGGAUGUUGGUUAUUAUUUUCCCAGCUAUUAUCCUGACCUGAUUACUCUUGUCAUUAUGGGCUCUCACUAAAGCUCAGUUGAGGAUAACACUAAAUGCUACCGAGAAUAACUUCAGAUUCCUCGGAUCCCAUGUUCCUGCAUUAGGUAUUCACACAGAUUAUGGAAGCAGCAAGGUGGGUCUCCUGGCCCACACUCUCUUAUUAUAGAUACGCAGAGUGUGGCUCAGGGAAGUGACUCCCAGUCUGCCCACCAGGCUCCCUUCUGUGAACCACAUGGAUGAAAUGCUCAGCCU
rnacentral:lncRNA from 1 species